rnacentral:lncRNA from 1 species
GCGAAGUAUUGCCAGUUUCACUGCCUACUAAGCGCUUUUCCUACUGCUAUUUCUGCCAUUGUGUUAUGACCUUUUUGCCUGCUCUUUUUGAUUACUGUUUUUGGAUUUUGGACUCUGCCUUGUUUGCCUUUUUGGACUGCCUCUUUGUUUGCUUAUCGUUGCCUGGUUCAUGAUCACGAUUCUGCCUAUUGUUUGAUACUAGUUGUUUGUUUAAUAAACCUCCAGCUUUUGGAUUCAAUCCGCCUCCAUGUCUUCACCUACGGCUCCCUCACACUUCCUCUGUUGUCAAGUUUUUGGAUUGAGUCUCAAUAACUUGGUCAGGUGUCACCCAAGAUUUAUCUUCCUUCACAGUGCUUUGUCUUGAGCUGUAAGGAUGAACUCCUGAAAUCUGUCUAAACUCCAGUGAUUGACUUGAAGAC